rnacentral:rRNA from 1 species
UACGAAGGGGGCUAGCGUUGCUCGGAAUCACUGGGCGUAAAGCGCACGUAGGCGGCUUUCUAAGUCAGGGGUGAAAUCCCGGAGCUCAACUCCGGAACUGCCUUUGAUACUGGAAAGCUUGAGUUCGAGAGAGGUGAGUGGAACUGCGAGUGUAGAGGUGAAAUUCGUAGAUAUUCGCAAGAACACCAGUGGCGAAGGCGGCUCACUGGCUCGAUACUGACGCUGAGGUGCGAAAGCGUGGGGAGCAAACAGG